rfam:Triticum urartu cultivar G1812 contig272763, whole genome shotgun sequence.
CUAGUAUUUCCUCCGCCCUAAAUUACUUGUCGUGGAAAUGGAUAGAAAUGGAUGUAUCUAGAACUAAAAAUACGUCUAGGUGCAUCCAUCUUUUUGACAAGUAAUUCAGGACGAAGGGAGUAUACA